rnacentral:rRNA from 1 species
ACGACGCUGGCGGCGUGCCUAAUACAUGCAAGUCGAGCGAACAGAAGGGAGCUUGCUCCCGGAUGUUAGCGGCGGACGGGUGAGUAACACGUGGGUAACCUGCCUGUAAGACUGGGAUAACUCCGGGAAACCGGAGCUAAUACCGGAUAGUUCCUUGAACCGCAUGGUUCAAGGAUGAAAGACGGUUUCGGCUGUCACUUACAGAUGGACCCGCGGCGCAUUAGCUAGUUGGUGGGGUAAUGGCUCACCAAGGCGACGAUGCGUAGCCGACCUGAGAGGGUGAUCGGCCACACUGGGACUGAGACACGGCCCAGACUCCUACGGGAGGCAGCAGUAGGGAAUCUUCCGCAAUGGACGAAAGUCUGACGGAGCAACGCCGCGUGAGUGAUGAAGGUUUUCGGAUCGUAAAGCUCUGUUGUUAGGGAAGAACAAGUGCGAGAGUAACUGCUCGCACCUUGACGGUACCUAACCAGAAAGCCACGGCUAACUACGUGCCAGCAGCCGCGGUAAUACGUAGGUGGCAAGCGUUGUCCGGAAUUAUUGGGCGUACCGGGCUCGCAGGCGGUUUCUUAAGUCUGAUGUGAAAGCCCCCGGCUCAACCGGGGAGGGUCAUUGGAAACUGGGAAACUUGAGUGCAGAAGAGGAGAGUGGAAUUCCACGUGUAGCGGUGAAAUGCGUAGAGAUGUGGAGGAACACCAGUGGCGAAGGCGACUCUCUGGUCUGUAACUGACGCUGAGGAGCGAAAGCGUGGGGAGCGAACAGGAUUAGAUACCCUGGUAGUCCACGCCGUAAACGAUGAGUGCUAAGUGUUAGGGGGUUUCCGCCCCUUAGUGCUGCAGCUAACGCAUUAAGCACUCCGCCUGGGGAGUACGGUCGCAAGACUGAAACUCAAAGGAAUUGACGGGGGCCCGCACAAGCGGUGGAGCAU